ensembl:lncRNA
CUAAUGUUAACAAAUACAACUUUUGACUUUAAUUUAAGAACAGCUAGUGCGACUAACCGUGUUAAGAGACGUUUGUAUUCUCGAAAAAUAAUUGUCAUUUGUUUUUGAUUAUUGAUAAAUCAAGACCUAAACUUGCGGUGGUGAUGACGUCAGUAACCCGCGCCAUGCAGAAGUUUUGAAGCCAUCUUUCGCAUUACCUUUUGGCACGCCCCCUACCUUUCGUUUCACCAAUGAGAAGCCUUUUGGCACGCCCCACACCUUUCGGCACGCCCCCACCUUUUGGCACGCCCAUUGCUCCAGGCUGCAGUUACCCCUACUUGACGCAAACCCCUGAUCCCCGACGGAAGAACAACACGCACUGAGGAAAAGAUUCUUACCGUGGAGGUGAAGAAAGGCUGGAAGGAAGGAACCAAGAUUACUUUCCCCAAGGAAGGUGAUGAGAUGCCAACAAACAUCCCCGCAGAUGUGGUGUUUAUGGUGAAAGAUAAACCACAUCCCGUCUACAAACGAGAUGGAUCGGACAUAAUUUAUCCUGCAAAAAUUUGUUCCACCCAUGAACUCAGCAGCUGAUUUCACCAGAGGAGAAACCAAGUCAUUCCUUCCAAGUCACAAACUAGUCUCAAGUUAAAUCCCAAGUCCUCAAAGAGUUAAAGUUAAUGAGAUAAUUAAAUGACUAAUUAAAUGAUGAUUGUGCAAUAGUGAUGGACACCUGCUGUUAUUGAAAAUUACAGAGGAUCAGAUGUUGAUGUUUUAUUGGUU